UGCAGAAGGACUACAAAACUGAUCCUAGAAAAUGUAGGCUUUUGUGGUUUACUAGGGCCCAUAAAAUCCCUAAACCAGAAGGGUGCCUGGGAAGACAACAACACUAAGUCUGUGGUAACAUGCUCCACAUGCAUAAAGAUUUGUUAAGUGGGACCAGAGCUGUGUUUAGUCUACUGCAUCCCAUUGUUGGGAAAAGAUCCUCCAAAGUGCUUACCCACUGCCUUGGAAACAUGAGGUUUUCCUGUCUAGUUGGUAUGAGAAGAACUUUUCCCAGCCCAAUGUAAACUCCAAGAACCAUUGUCUCUAAUCCUUUUAGUUUUUUUUUCCUAGUCCUGAGGGGGGAGGGAUCACAUGUUACAUGCAUAUGACGAUCAGUGUUCUCCUGAAUGAUCUAGAAGAGUUCUCUUCAGAUUUCCACACUUGUAUCUCAGUGCAGCUCUCCCCUGUCCACCGUGUAGAAGCUCCUUCCGCCCUGUGCCAUCGUGUAGAAACUCUCUCAGGGAUAUAAGUGAAUCUUAUAGCUUUUUGACAUCUCCUUUUGGAUGACCCAUAGCCAUCCCAAACUUAAUAUACCUAAAGUGGAAUUUCUCUCUGAAAACUUUUCUCCUUUUAUUAACCUCUCAAUAUGUAGUAUAACAACCAGACGGUUGCUUAAACUUGAGCCUAGAAGUCGUUCUCCAUUAUGACCCACAUCCUGCCCUUCAAUAAAUCAUGGAUUAGGCCUUUAAGUUAUAUCUUCAAUUCAUUUACUUCUCUUCAUUUCCACUUCUGUCAUCCUAGUCGAGGGCACAGUUGUCUCCCCUGAUAUUAUUGCAGUGAUCUUCUGCUUGUUUUCUAUGUUUCCUCCUCUGUUCUGCCAUAGUCAUUCAUCAUAUAGAUGCAUUUAUGCUUCUUUAAAAUCCUUCAAAAUAUUUCUGGUUAAAUAAAAAUCCAAACUCCUCACGACAUCUCACAAAAUACAAAGGAUUUGAUCAGCCUUUUCCUGAGCAGUUAUCCUGGCCAUGGUUGGCAUAUUACCCUCUUUACUUUCUAGCAAAUAUGGAGCUCUUUCCAACAUGAGGGCCUUGCCACCAUGUGGACUGUCUAUCUGCUAGUUUUGUGGUAUAGCUGAUACUCAUGUAUCCUUUAAAUCUUGACCUAAAUAACACCUCUGUAGGCAAGCUUUCGAUAAUUUUUUUCCAAUUAACUAUGUCUUCAUGCUAUUUACCAUCAUAGUACCUGGCUAUUAUCUUUAUGGAAUUUGAUCAUUUUAUAAUUAUACUUUGUAAUUAUAUAGCUCUUUUUCUGUCUGUCUCUCCACUAGAUUUUAAAAUUUGGAGGAUCUAAACCAUUUCUUUUUUUCUCACCAUUAUAUACUUAUUAAUUAAUGGUGAUGAUCAUACAUAGCAGGAAUUCAAUACCUUGUUCAUUGAAUGAAUGUAAUUAUUGAAUUAAAAUUACAUUUGGUGUGA